rnacentral:lncRNA from 1 species
CUUUGGACAGCCUUUAGACAUGUGGCACUACAGCUCUGGUGCGUAGACAGGUAUAGUCAGGCUCUCUGGCAGUAGAUCUCUUUGACAGUAUUUGCACAUUGUCAGCUGAAGAUGCUGAGAUAAGUGAUGUUGCUUACUCAGGAUGGUUUCCCCUGCCAAUCAGCACUGUACUUAUCUAAACUCUAGCAUGUAUCGUUGGAGAGGAGAGAAGCAAAGCGUCAUCAGAUUUGGAACUUUGGAAGUGGAUGUUUUCAAGCAGUGGGACUUUCCUAUUAUGGUCAGCUCCUGACUUGUGAGAGCACGCCCAGUGGAAUUACUUCCCUGCCUGAAGUGCAACAUGUGAAACACAGGUUUAAUGAUCUUGCUCAGCCCAGCUGGGAGGAGGAAUGGAAAAGGAGGAAAGCAUGUCUCAGAAAUCCUAGGACAUCUCAAAAAGCACUAGGUAUCUAUUUGUGGAUGACUGAGCUGAUUGCCACUGACAACGAUACAUCACUGUAAGAUGACAAAGAAGUGUUUUUCUACAAAAAGUAUAAGCAAAUGUGGUGUUUAUGGUUAAAUACAUUUAACAGAGGAUUACAUGUGAACACUGAUGGCAGAAAAUACCUACAUACCUAGCUGUGCAGGAACAGAUUGGCUAAUGCAAGACAGUUUGAAUUGUCUCUGAACAAGGACAAAAGAAAUGAGGCUAUUCCAGCGCUAGACACAUGCACAUGUGAGAAAGCACAGACCAUGGAGCACCUCCUGAGCUCCCUGGGCACCUGAAAUUUGGAUGCGCUGCUGAAGACUAGAGACUAAUGCUAUAUCUAUACCAGUACUGCAUGCCAUAGCAUGUUCCCAGUUUUGUAAAAUUAUGUAGUUGUGAUGGGAGUAAAAACAAGAAAAAGUAUUUGUCUUACACUGUUCUACUUGUUAUUGUUUUCUUUCCCCU